GGGUGCAUCGGAAGAUGGUCCAUCAACAACCUCUGGGGUAGGUGCUGGUGGGGAGGAGACGGUGGGUCCCCCGGCAGAUUCACUCGGGCUGGUUGCUGCGUAAUCGUCUUCGGCUGUUGGUUCCUCUGCCACAGGGGACGAUGCUUUGGGUGCUGAGGCUGACGAUGAUUUGGGUGCAGCAGCCGGUGCCUUGGUCUGCGUGGUGGGUGCUUUUGUAGGGGAGGCGGUGGGAGCAGCUGAGGGUGCCUCGGCAGCGAAUGCGGUGGCCACGACCAAGGCCAAUAGAGCCAAUACGACAAAUUGACGUGCCAUUUUUAAAAAUGAUUAAAGGUGUUCCAAAGCUAAAGCAGUAUGUAUUAUUUAUUUAUUUUUCUGAAUACUGC
rnacentral:lncRNA from 1 species